UACGAAGGGGGCUAGCGUUGCUCGGAAUUACUGGGCGUAAAGCGCACGUAGGCGGCUCUUUAAGUCGGGGGUGAAAUCCUGGAGCUCAACUCCAGAACUGCCUUCGAUACUGGAGAGCUUGAGUUCGGGAGAGGUGAGUGGAACUGCGAGUGUAGAGGUGAGAUUCGUAGAUAUUCGCAAGAACACCAGUGGCGAAGGCGGCUCACUGGCCCGAUACUGACGCUGAGGUGCGAAAGCGUGGGGAGCAAACAGG
rnacentral:rRNA from 1 species